AGCGGAAAUCCUUUAAAUAUUCAAAUUUCCCGCGUUCUCAUGUUCCCCGUUUUUCGAUUAUCUUUCUUUUU
ensembl:ncRNA B0025.7 ncRNA